CAGCCGCCGCGGUAAUACGUAGGUGGCAAGCGUUGUCCGGAAUUAUUGGGCGUAAAGGGCUCGCAGGCGGUUUCUUAAGUCUGAUGUGAAAGCCCCCGGCUCAACCGGGGAGGGUCAUUGGAAACUGGGAAACUUGAGUGCAGAAGAGGAGAGUGGAAUUCCACGUGUAGCGGUGAAAUGCGUAGAGAUGUGGAGGAACACCAGUGGCGAAGGCGACUCUCUGGUCUGUAACUGACGCUGAGGAGCGAAAGCGUGGGGAGCGAACAGGAUUAGAUACCCGUGUAGUCCCUGUCUCUUAUAU
rnacentral:rRNA from 1 species